UUACGGCCACAUCACGUUGAAACACCGGUUCCUGUGUGAUCAACGAAGUUAAGCAACUCCGAACCUGAUCAGUACCUAGAUGAGCGACCACUUAGGAAUACAAGUUGCUGUAAG